AUUGAACGCUGGCGGCAUGCUUUACACAUGCAAGUCGAACGGUAACAGGCCACAAGGUGCUGACGAGUGGCGAACGGGUGAGUAAUGCAUCGGAACGUGCCCAGUCGUGGGGGAUAACGCAGCGAAAGCUGUGCUAAUACCGCAUACGAUCUAUGGAUGAAAGCGGGGGACCGUAAGGCCUCGCGCGAUUGGAGCGGCCGAUGUCAGAUUAGGUAGUUGGUGGGGUAAAGGCCCACCAAGCCAACGAUCUGUAGCUGGUCUGAGAGGACGACCAGCCACACUGGGACGGAGACACGGCCCAGACUCCUACGGGAGGCAGCAGUGGGGAAUUUUGGACAAUGGGCGCAAGCCUGAUCCAGCAAUGCCGCGUGCAGGAAGAAGGCCUUCGGGUUGUAAACUGCUUUUGUACGGAACGAAAAGGUCUGGGUUAAUACCCUGGGCCGAUGACGGUACCGUAAGAAUAAGCACCGGCUAACUACGUGCCAGCCGCCGCCGUAAAAC
rnacentral:rRNA from 1 species